UUGGAUUUUAAUGAAGAGUUUGGUUGUAGCUGGCCCAUUCAUUUGGGCAUGUGCACACCUUCCUCUUUCAUCCCACACACACCUGUGAACCUGUGAGACAGAGAUGGGGAAUUUACUUGCUGCUUUUUGGAAUACAAAGGUAAUAGGUUAUUGGACCCCCCCUCUGUCUACUCAAUUAAUAUAAACUCAAUUUAUUUUAAAACGAAUGUAAUGGAUGUAACACAUCUCAUAC
rnacentral:misc_RNA from 1 species